GUAGAAGUUUUUGUAUAAAAGCCACGGUCCUGAGCUCAGUAGUUUGGGUGUGUAUCUGCAGAAGGACCUGGCUUUAAUGUCUGUCAUUCUUGUAUGAUCUUCAUUAAAGUCUAUUGGAUUCACAAGUUCCUGAGAUGAAGUGUUUUUGUUUUAGUCGUUGUGGACUUGAGUUUUCCACGACACAACCAAGGAUACCAGGCCACAACCCUACCUUAUCUACGGCCCUGUUCCGUUUGGCGGCAAGUGCAGGUUAUUCCUCCUGGAAUACCAGUCUCUGUCUAUGCUAAGAUGUUCUAUAACAUCUCACAACCAAGUGACGUCUGUGGCCAACUGGAAUAUGAUGUUCUGCAGUUCACCUGUUGUGAUGGAAAACUACACAAUGGGCCGAGGCUGUCCUGCUGCGGAAGCAAUGCCUUCAGCAUCACCCAGGCUUCUUGUUGUCAAGGUCAGCUGACUGUUAAUGUGAGCCAGCUUGUGUCAGAUUGCUGCGGGUACAAAGCCUACGACCCACUCAACUAUCUGUGCUGUAACACACGGAUACUUAAAAGGAACAAACCCUAUUCCAAGUGUUGUGGAAAAGAGGUUUUUGACAGUCACCAGCUUUGCUGUGGAGUGGAAAAGAUAGUCCUGACCAAAAUCUCCAGUAACCACAAGUGUUGUGGAAACCAACAGUAUGACAACAAAAGACAAUGCUGCAAUUAUACUGUAGUAACCACAAGGAAUCUGGAUGGACAAUGCCAUGUAUCAAAUGACACAAUGAUAACAAAACCGGCCCUGACAAAUAGACCUAACAACUGUCCCCCUGGGGAGAAGGGCUGUGGUGGAGCCUGUUAUUACCCGACAACAGAGCAGUGCUGUAAUACCUCUUUCCAGGGGCCAUAUCCCUCUGGCCAGAAAUGCUAUCAAGGUCAGGCUGCUUACUGUGGAUCCUCAUAUUACAAUCCAGAAAAAGAAACAUGUUGUGCUGGGAGUGUGAAAAACAGGGUGCAUGGAAACAAUCUGUGUUGUGGUACAUAUCCCUAUAGUGUAGUGGAUGAAGACCGUUUCUGCUGCAACCAGAGCUUGUCCUACGAGCGGAAGGAGGGAAAGCGCUGCUCCCGGAGUGGCCACUUGUAUCAGCCAGACAGCCAGUUGGUGUGUGAGUCAUAUGUCAACAGACCUGGGAACCACUGCUGUGGAAAGACCACCUACGACCCCCAGACUGAGAUCUGCUGCAACGGGCACAGACACGGCAGUUUUGUGAAUGUGUCCUGCUGUGGGAAGGAGGCCUACAACCGGAGCAGUGGAGAGAAGAAGUGCUGUGCAGGUACCCUGUAUGAUCUGCCCCUUCAGGGCCAGCACACAAAUGAGUCCCAGUGUUGUGGAAGUGUCCUGAUGGAGGCUGGCUCCACACAAACCUGUUGCUUCGCGCCGGGACUUGCCCUGGUCUACACAACCCAACCGGGCUUCAGCUGCUGUGGGCACCUCUACCCUAACACCUCCCUCUGGUCCUGCUGCGCUGGGGUCCUGCAACCAUGGACAGAGCGGCAAACCAGGAACCACAAUGAGAGUCCAGGUCCCAGGCUUCUUCAGCUGGAGGAUCUGUAUGAAGAUGUGUGUCAUAACAAUGUUUACAUAGGGACAGUGGAGACUGUGUCUGUGAGGAAAAACCAGAUGUCUGUUGUGAUGAAGAACGCCGUGUUCUUGAUGCUCUCAAAGAACCAGGUCCGGGCCCUGUCUAACCCUGAAUAUCUGAGGUUGUCUGACCACUGCAGCUCCCCCGAGCUGGUGCCAGGAAACACUUACAUCUGGAUGAAAGCAAAUCGUACCCUGGAGGACAUACGCUUCAUCUCUGACAUCAGUGAUCACCCAUCCCCUAUUUACUCUAUUCUUUCCAUGUGCAGCUUCUGAAUAUAACCAAAAGGUCAGAACAAUGGUUACACACUUUAAAACACAAUGUGAAUUCUGGGUAUUUUUUUCAUAUGCUAUUUUAGAGAAACUUGGUUUUAGUUAACCAUUAUUUGAACAGGUGACGAGCUGAUUCUCAUUUAUAAUGACAACCAGGCCACUUCUCAUAUUCAGUGCCGGGCCUGGGCACAGGCAUCACAUUGCAAGUAUGUUAACUACGUUUAAAACCAGCAUGCUUAUUUUAUCUCAGGAGUCAAAUCCCAGGAAAGGUUUGGUGAUAAACUGUCACAUUACUAAGAUUAC
ensembl:lncRNA